rnacentral:rRNA from 1 species
AGUGAACGCUGGCGGUAGGCCUAACACAUGCAAGUCGAACGGCAGCACAGUAAGAGCUUGCUCUUACGGGUGGUGAGUGGCGGACGGGUGAGGAAUACAUCGGAAUCUACUUUUUCGUGGGGGAUAACGUAGGGAAACUUACGCUAAUACCGCAUACGACCUACGGGUGAAAGCAGGAGAGCUUCGGACCUUGCGCGAUUGAAUGAGCCGAUGUCGGAUUAGCUAGUUGGCGGGGUAAAGGCCCACCAAGGCGACGAUCCGUAGCUGGUCUGAGAGGAUGAUCAGCCACACUGGAACUGAGACACGGUCCAGACUCCUACGGGAGGCAGCAGUGGGGAAUAUUGGACAAUGGGCGCAAGCCUGAUCCAGCCAUACCGCGUGGGUGAAGAAGGCCUUCGGGUUGUAAAGCCCUUUUGUUGGGAAAGAAAAGCAGCAGGUUAAUACCCCGCUGUUCUGACGGUACCCAAAGAAUAAGCACCGGCUAACUUCGUG